rnacentral:rRNA from 1 species
GCGAGCGGCGGAUGGGUGAGUAACACGUGGGGAACCUGCCCCUAAGUCUGGGAUACCAUUUGGAAACAGGUGCUAAUACCGGAUAAUAAAGCAGAUCGCAUGAUCAGCUUUUGAAAGGCGGCGUAAGCUGUCGCUAAGGGAUGGCCCCGCGGUGCAUUAGCUAGUUGGUAAGGUAACGGCUUACCAAGGCGACGAUGCAUAGCCGAGUUGAGAGACUGAUCGGCCACAUUGGGACUGAGACACGGCCCAAACUCCUACGGGAGGCAGCAGUAGGGAACCUUCCACAAUGGACGCAAGUCUGAUGGAGCAACGCCGCGUGAGUGAAGAAGGUUUUCGGAUCGUAAAGCUCUGUUGUUGGUGAAGAAGGAUAGAGGUAGUAACUGGCCUUUAUUUGACGGUAAUCAACCAGAAAGUCACGGCUAACUACGUGCCAGCAGCCGCGGUAAUACGUAGGUGGCAAGCGUUGUCCGGAUUUAUUGGGCGUAAAGCGAGCGCAGGCGGAAAAAUAAGUCUAAUGUGAAAGCCCUCGGCUUAACCGAGGAACUGCAUCGGAAACUGUUUUUCUUGAGUGCAGAAGAGGAGAGUGGAACUCCAUGUGUAGCGGUGGAAUGCGUAGAUAUAUGGAAGAACACCAGUGGCGAAGGCGGCUCUCUGGUCUGCAACUGACGCUGAGGCUCGAAAGCAUGGGUAGCGAACAGGAUUAGAUACCCUGGUAGUCCAUGCCGUAAACGAUGAGUGCUAAGUGUUGGGAGGUUUCCGCCUCUCAGUGCUGCAGCUAACGCAUUAAGCACUCCGCCUGGGGAGUACGACCGCAAGGUUGAAACUCAAAGGAA